rnacentral:misc_RNA from 1 species
AGGUGCAUUGCUGGGAGGCAAUGUGUGUAGGAGUCAAUUUUCGAGGCAAACGAGCCAAUAGGGCGAGCCGGAGAGUUGCCGGGAGGAGCAAGCCAAAAUGAGGUUAAGUUUGUCUACUACAUGACAAAAUGAGGUUCAAAUGGGCUGGAGGUAUGUUGGGCGUGCUGGGCUGACGGGCAGCACAAAAUGAGCUUCACGGGCCAAGUCUGGCACACAAUGGGUCUGCUGGCCGUGCAGGCCACAUGGGAGUAGCAGGCGGACAGAGAAGGCGUGAAACAAGGUUCAUCGCGCAGGAACAAGGGUGCGAGAGCACUGGGCGCGUGUGAGCGAGGUUCAAAUUGGCAGGCAAGAGUGCCAAGUGAGCUCAGGAAGCCAAGGCGCACGAGGUUCAAAUGGACGCAGGACGCGCGGGCGCACAUAGGACGCCAGGCACGGGCAAGGUUCAAACAGCGCUUGGGAGCUGCAAGGCGCACGCAAGAAGCGACAAGUGCACGCGGGAUGGGCGCUAGCCCACCCAAACAAGGUUCUUUCUACACAGGAGCUCGCCAAAAACGAGGUUCACUCGUCAGAAUUGCCAUUCCCGCCCAGUUUUAAAUUUUGGCCGCCAAACACACUCCAAGUCAGCAAAAAGGCUAUAAAUAGGGGUGUUUGGCCUUCAUUUGGAAAAGUUGGACUUAGUUGGUCACUCCAAAGGUUCUUUGUACACUUAGCCCACUUUAUUGCUCUCUUAUAAGCUCUAGGCUUGUAUUAGCCAAUUUUAGUGAGUAAUAAAGUUUCCUUCCCUUUGCCAAACUCUUUCCA